rnacentral:rRNA from 1 species
CUGGCUCAGGACGAACGCUGGCGGCGUGCCUAAUACAUGCAAGUCGAACGGUCUUUUCUAUGGAAGCUUGCUUCCACUGAGAAGAUAGUGGCGAACGGGUGAGUAACACGUGGGGUAACCUGCCCAUAAGAGGGGGAUAACAUCCGGAAACGGGUGCUAAUACCGCAUAGUUUUCUUGAUCGCAUGAUCGGGAAAGGAAAGACGGCCUUUGUGCUGUCGCUUAUGGAUGGACCCGCGGCGUAUUAGUUAGUUGGUGAGGUAACGGCUCACCAAGACGAUGAUACGUAGCCGACCUGAGAGGGUGAUCGGCCACAUUGGGACUGAGACACGGCCCAAACUCCUACGGGAGGCAGCAGUAGGGAAUCUUCCGCAAUGGACGAAAGUCUGACGGAGCAACGCCGCGUGAGUGAAGAAGGUUUUUCCGGGAUCGUAAAACUCUGUUGUCAGAGAAGAACAAGUUGGAGAGUAACUGCUCCAGCCUUGACGGUAUCUGACCAGAAAGCCACGGCUAACUACGUGCCAGCAGCCGC